rnacentral:rRNA from 1 species
UCUGAAUCUGCGUACGGCUCCGCACACCAGUUGUAAACCAAAGCAAGCAAGCCUGGUCCUCAAGCCUCUCGGGGUGAGUGGGCUGGGCUACAAGGAUAACCCUGGUAAUUCUGAGGCUAAUACGAGACUACAUAACCUGCCGACCGGGGGCUUUGCCCUUGGAAAGCGGGGGAUGUGCGAUCCUCGGGCCAAAACAAACCGGAAAGAGCGCACGUUCAGACCACUUAAAAAGGCUUCAGGGGGGUCCCUUCACGGGGGUCCUCGUGGGGCUGUGGCUCUUGCACUGUGCUUCUGACCUAUCAACUAGACGGCAGCUUAAGGGACAUGCUUUGGU